CCGGCUAUCGAUAGUCUGCGAAAUGUAUCGCCGCCAGUGAUGUGCAAGGUUGCAGCUUUCGUACCUAGAUACAGGUACAAAUCUGUACCUAGGGUAAUAUUUUGCAUAUCAAACCAUCAUUUACUAUCCCCCACAAGUCGGAUCGAUUUAAGAACCAAUUUGAAGGACAUGCACAAGAGUAAAAUACGAAAUACUUUUAUUCAUAAGAUUUUAACAAAUAAAUAAUCAAGUGUAAUACAA